GGUGGCUCAGUGGUAGAGUGCUUGCCUGGCAUGCAUAAGGCCCUGGGUUCAAUUCCUCAGCACCA
rnacentral:tRNA from 1 species